rnacentral:lncRNA from 1 species
GUUUUUAUAUUACCCCCAAAGCUUGAAAAACAAGGUGGAGAGCAGCAAUACUAGAAAAGCUGCAGAGGGAAUGACUGCUGGUUGUUUGGGCUCUUACAUCCCUGCUGCACAAGACCAUUUGCAGCCAGGUAUCACUGUACGUCUCUGGCUGAUAAGAUGCAUGAAGCUGAUUUUCCUCUGCUUUUCCUCUGCUUUGGAGGCUAUUAAGAGGCAAGUUGCCAAGCACAGAGGAACCUGUCCCACUCAUAUACUUCAAGUACAAUGCUGUCAUUGCCAUCUCUGGGAGAACAUAUGGACAUGGCA